UACGGGAGGCAGCAGUAGGGAAUCUUCCGCAAUGGGCGAAAGCCUGACGGAGCAACGCCGCGUGAGUGAUGAAGGUCUUCGGAUCGUAAAACUCUGUUAUUAGGGAAAAACAUAUGUGUAAGUAACUGUGCACAUCUUGACGGUACCUAAUCAGAAAGCCACGGCUAACUACGUGCCAGCAGCCGCGGUAAU
rnacentral:rRNA from 1 species